CCAGCGACCCGCGUGAGGGAGAAGGCCUUCGGGUUGUAAACCUCUUUUCUUGGGGAAGAAUUNUGACGGUACCCAAGGAAUAAGCCUCGGCCAACUACGUGCCAGCAGCCGCGGUAAUA
rnacentral:rRNA from 1 species